CUAUCGCUUACAGAUGGGCCCGCGGUGCAUUAGCUAGUUGGUAGGGUAAUGGCCUACCAAGGCAACGAUGCAUAGCCGACCUGAGAGGGUGAUCGGCCACACUGGGACUGAGACACGGCCCAGACUCCUACGGGAGGCAGCAGUAGGGAAUCUUCCGCAAUGGACGAAAGUCUGACGGAGCAACGCCGCGUGUAUGAAGAAGGUUUUCGGAUCGUAAAGUACUGUUGUUAGAGAAGAACAAGGAUAAGAGUAACUGCUUGUCCCUUGACGGUAUCUAACCAGAAAGCCACGGCUAACUACGUGCCAGCAGCCGCGGUAAUACGUAGGUGGCAAGCGUUGUCCGGAUUUAUUGGGCGUAAAGCGCGCGCAGGCGGUCUUUUAAGUCUGAUGUGAAAGCCCCCGGCUUAACCGGGGAGGGUCAUUGGAAACUGGAAGACUGGAGUGCAGAAGAGGAGAGUGGAAUUCCACGUGUAGCGGUGAAAUGC
rnacentral:rRNA from 1 species